UACGGAGGGAGCUAGCGUUGUUCGGAAUUACUGGGCGUAAAGCGCACGUAGGCGGCUUUGCAAGUUAGAGGUGAAAGCCUGGGGCUCAACUCCAGAACUGCCUUUAAAACUGCAUCGCUUGAAUCCAGGAGAGGUGAGUGGAAUUCCGAGUGUAGAGGUGAAAUUCGUAGAUAUUCGGAAGAACACCAGUGGCGAAGGCGGCUCACUGGACUGGUAUUGACGCUGAGGUGCGAAAGCGUGGGGAGCAAACAGG
rnacentral:rRNA from 1 species